UACGUAGGGGGCUAGCGUUGUCCGGAUUUAUUGGGCGUAAAGAGCGUGUAGGCGGCCAGGUAGGUCUGGUGUGAAAACUCGAGGCUUAACCUCGAGAUGUCAUCGGAAACCAUCUGGCUAGAGUCCGGAAGAGGAGAGUGGAAUUCCUGGUGUAGCGGUGAAAUGCGCAGAUAUCAGGAAGAACACCAAUGGCGAAAGCAGCUCUCUGGGACGGUACUGACGCUGAGACGCGAAAGCGUGGGGAGCGAACGGG
rnacentral:rRNA from 1 species